rnacentral:rRNA from 1 species
UACGAAGGGGGCUAGCGUUGCUCGGAAUUACUGGGCGUAAAGCGUGCGUAGGUGGUUCGUUAAGUCUGAUGUGAAAGCCCUGGGCUCAACCUGGGAAUGGCAUUGGAUACUGGCGACCUAGAGUGCGGUAGAGGGGUGUGGAAUUCCCGGUGUAGCAGUGAAAUGCGUAGAUAUCGGGAGGAACAUCUGUGGCGAAGGCGACACCCUGGACCAGCACUGACACUGAGGCACGAAAGCGUGGGGAGCAAACAGG